rnacentral:tRNA from 1 species
GGGAUUGUAGCUCUGUGGUAGAGCACUUGCCUAGCACGUGUGAGGUACUGGGUUCGAUUCUCAGCACCA